rnacentral:rRNA from 1 species
AACGAACGCAGGCGGCAGGCUUAACACAUGCAAGUCGAGCGCCCCGCAAGGGGAGCGGCAGACGGGUGAGUAACGCGUGGGAAUCUACCCAUCACUACGGAACAACUCCGGGAAACUGGAGCUAAUACCGUAUACGUCCUUCGGGAGAAAGAUUUAUCGGUGAUGGAUGAGCCCGCGUUGGAUUAGCUAGUUGGUGGGGUAAUGGCCUACCAAGGCGACGAUCCAUAGCUGGUCUGAGAGGAUGAUCAGCCACACUGGGACUGAGACACGGCCCAGACUCCUACGGGAGGCAGCAGUGGGGAAUAUUGGACAAUGGGCGAAAGCCUGAUCCAGCCAUGCCGCGUGAGUGAUGACGGCCCUAGGGUUGUAAAGCUCUUUCGCAGGUGAAGAUAAUGACGGUAACCUGAGAAGAAGCCCCGGCUAACUUCGUGCCAGCAGCCGCCGUAA